ACGCCGGCGGAGGAACCGUCGCGUA
rnacentral:snRNA from 1 species